GCUGAAGAAGAAGAGAGAAAUGGAGGGGGAGGUUGGAUUUUCUGAGCAAAAGGUCUUAAAAGAUAAGGAGGUGUUGGAGGUUCCAAAUGGGCAGCUGAUCUCAAAGUGGAAGCAGUGCCAAAUAGAUCAAGCCUGCUUCUUGGGAAAGACGAGGAUGUGAAGGGAGGUGCAGGGAUCCCUGUGAACUCCUGAACCAUGGCUCGGAAAUUAGUCGUGUCUGUGGUCAAAACUGUGGUUGGGGGCCGCCCCGGAGGUCCGCUUUGGAUUACGAACGAUAUUAUUGCUGCUAGUGGUGAUCGUGCCCUGAUCAUUCGAAACUGAAGCUGAAGCUGAAGCUGAACCCGAACCUCUUGUAGCACAUUCUGGUCCUUGAGGGAUCUGUACAGAAGGAAAAGUGGUUCUACUUGGC
rnacentral:misc_RNA from 1 species